rnacentral:rRNA from 1 species
UACGAAGGGGGCUAGCGUUGCUCGGAAUUACUGGGCGUAAAGCGCACGUAGGCGGCUUUCUAAGUCGGGGGUGAAAUCCUGGAGCUCAACUCCAGAACUGCCUUCGAUACUGGAAAGCUCGAGUCCGGGAGAGGUGAGUGGAACUGCGAGUGUAGAGGUGAAAUUCGUAGAUAUUCGCAAGAACACCAGUGGCGAAGGCGGCUCACUGGCCCGGUACUGACGCUGAGGAACGAAAGCGUGGGGAGCGAACAGG